ensembl:lncRNA
CUUCGCUGUCACAUCACAUGACUCAAAGAGAGGUUAUAAAACAGUGAAUUUUAGUGAUGCAUGACUUCAUUUACCUUUACCAUGGGACUUACUGCUUAACCCAUGAAUUUGAUAUUACACUCGACUCCAUCAUUUCUUAAAGCAAUCAGACCAAUCGGCUAUCAAGAUGUGGAGAACAGUAUUGAUGACCACCGUUUUUAUGUUAACUGCACAUACUGCAAUCAGAGCUCACUCAACAGCAAUGACUGAUGUUACAGCAGCUACAGACUCAACAGAUGACAUCGCAACAGAUUCAGUUAUUCGUGUUACAAAUGAUUCUACAGCAGAUACAACUGAUGGACUUGCCACAGAAAUAUCCAUGGAAACAAUUACAAGCAGCACUGUGGAAUCUAGAACCGGAUUAUCAGAUGAAUCAACCAACGGUGACCUGACAGAAAUGACAACAAUAGAAGAAUUUUCAACAUCUUUGUCGGAUGACCCUACCACUGAUACUACAGAUCCGUCAAUCAACACACCAAAAUUUACGGCAGGAACUACAGCAUUUACUGAUGAAUUACCAAUUGGUUUCGCUGAUGACUCAGCCACAAAUGUUACAGAUGAAUCAACAACAGCCUUUGCAACUGAUUCAUCAGAGGAAGAUUCAACAGAGGAAACGGAACUAUCAACUGUAGGAUUUACUGAUCAGUCAACUACAACUCAACCAAACACAAGAGCUAUAGCUGAAUCCACCUUAGAAGAAAUAACUGUAAAUGUCACUGAUGAUACUACUGAUGAAGAAUUGACAACAGCUUUCACAUCAGACAUUUCUACGAAUGAUUCAUCAGAGGAAGAUUCAACAGAGGAAACGGAACUGUCAACUGUAGGAUUUACUGAUCAAUCAACUACAACACAACCAACCACAAGAGCUAUAGCUGAAUCCACCUUAGAAGAAAUAACUGUAAAUGUCACUGAUGAUACUACUGAUGAAGAAUUGACAACAGCUUUCACAUCAGACAUUUCUACGAAUGAUUCAUCAGAGGAAGAUUCAACAGAGGAAACGGAACUAGAUUCAACAAAAGAAGUUUUAACAGAGGAAACUGAACUGUCAACUGUAGAAUUUACUGAUCAAUCAACUACAACCUCAACACCUCAGUCAACCACAGGAAUUACAUCUGGAAUCACAGCAGAAGAAACAACAAUAGACUUUACUGAUGUACUGACUACUGAAAAUGCAUUGGGAUCCGCAACAACAUUCACACCUGAUGUAUCUACAGGUGUCACAAACAAAUCAACACCAUUUAUAACAGAUUCAACAAAAGAAGUUUUAACAGAGGAAACUGAACUGUCAACUGUAGAAUUUACUGAUCAAUCAACUACAACCUCAACACCUCAGUCAACCACAGGAAUUACAUCUGGAAUCACCGCAGAAGAAACAACAAUAGACUUUACUGAUGUACUAACUACUGAAAAUGCAUUGGGAUCCGCAACAACAUUCACACCUGAUGUAUCUACAGGUGUCACAAACAAAUCAACACCAUUUAUAACAGAUUCAACAAAAGAAGUUUUAACAGAGGAAACUGAACUGUCAACUGUAGAAUUUACUGAUCAAUCAACUACAACCUCAACACCUCAGUCAACCACAGGAAUUACAUCUGGAAUCACAGCAGAAGAAACAACAAUAGACUUUACUGAUGUACUGACUACUGAAAAUGCAUUGGGAUCCGCAACAACAUUCACACCUGAUGUAUCUACAGGUGUCACAAACAAAUCAACACCAUUUAUAACAGAUUCAACAAAAGAAGUUUUAACAGAGGAAACUGAACUGUCAACUGUAGAAUUUACUGAUCAAUCAACUACAACCUCAACACCUCAGUCAACCACAGGAAUUACAUCUGGAAUCACAGCAGAAGAAACAACAAUAGACUUUACUGAUGUACUGACUACUGAAAAUGCAUUGGGAUCCGCAACAACAUUCACACCUGAUGUAUCUACAGGUGUCACAAACAAAUCAACACCAUUUAUAACAGAUUCAACAAAAGAAGUUUUAACAGAGGAAACUGAACUGUCAACUGUAGAAUUUACUGAUCAAUCAACUACAACCUCAACACCUCAGUCAACCACAGGAAUUACAUCUGGAAUCACAGCAGAAGAAACAACAAUAGACUUUACUGAUGUACUGACUACUGAAAAUGCAUUGGGAUCCGCAACAACAUUCACACCUGAUGUAUCUACAGGUGUCACAAACAAAUCAACACCAUUUAUAACAGAUUCAACAAAAGAAGUUUUAACAGAGGAAACUGAACUGUCAACUGUAGAAUUUACUGAUCAAUCAACUACAACCUCAACACCUCAGUCAACCACAGGAAUUACAUCUGGAAUCACCGCAGAAGAAACAACAAUAGACUUUACUGAUGUACUAACUACUGAAAAUGCAUUGGGAUCCGCAACAACAUUCACACCUGAUGUAUCUACAGGUGUCACAAACAAAUCAACACCAUUUAUAACAGAUUCAACAAAAGAAGUUUUAACAGAGGAAACUGAACUGUCAACUGUAGAAUUUACUGAUCAAUCAACUACAACCUCAACACCUCAGUCAACCACAGGAAUUACAUCUGGAAUCACAGCAGAAGAAACAACAAUAGACUUUACUGAUGUACUGACUACUGAAAAUGCAUUGGGAUCCGCAACAACAUUCACACCUGAUGUAUCUACAGGUGUCACAAACAAAUCAACACCAUUUAUAACAGAUUCAACAAAAGAAGUUUUAACAGAGGAAACUGAACUGUCAACUGUAGAAUUUACUGAUCAAUCAACUACAACCUCAACACCUCAGUCAACCACAGGAAUUACAUCUGGAAUCACAGCAGAAGAAACAACAAUAGACUUUACUGAUGUACUGACUACUGAAAAUGCAUUGGGAUCCGCAACAACAUUCACACCUGAUGUAUCUACAGGUGUCACAAACAAAUCAACACCAUUUAUAACAGAUUCAACAAAAGAAGUUUUAACAGAGGAAACUGAACUGUCAACUGUAGAAUUUACUGAUCAAUCAACUACAACCUCAACACCUCAGUCAACCACAGGAAUUACAUCUGGAAUCACAGCAGAAGAAACAACAAUAGACUUUACUGAUGUACUGACUACUGAAAAUGCAUUGGGAUCCGCAACAACAUUCACACCUGAUGUAUCUACAGGUGUCACAAACAAAUCAACACCAUUUAUAACAGAUUCAACAAAAGAAGUUUUAACAGAGGAAACUGAACUGUCAACUGUAGAAUUUACUGAUCAAUCAACUACAACCUCAACACCUCAGUCAACCACAGGAAUUACAUCUGGAAUCACCGCAGAAGAAACAACAAUAGACUUUACUGAUGUACUAACUACUGAAAAUGCAUUGGGAUCCGCAACAACAUUCACACCUGAUGUAUCUACAGGUGUCACAAACAAAUCAACACCAUUUAUAACAGAUUCAACAAAAGAAGUUUUAACAGAGGAAACUGAACUGUCAACUGUAGAAUUUACUGAUCAAUCAACUACAACCUCAACACCUCAGUCAACCACAGGAAUUACAUCUGGAAUCACAGCAGAAGAAACAACAAUAGACUUUACUGAUGUACUGACUACUGAAAAUGCAUUGGGAUCCGCAACAACAUUCACACCUGAUGUAUCUACAGGUGUCACAAACAAAUCAACACCAUUUAUAACAGAUUCAACAAAAGAAGUUUUAACAGAGGAAACUGAACUGUCAACUGUAGAAUUUACUGAUCAAUCAACUACAACCUCAACACCUCAGUCAACCACAGGAAUUACAUCUGGAAUCACAGCAGAAGAAACAACAAUAGACUUUACUGAUGUACUGACUACUGAAAAUGCAUUGGGAUCCGCAACAACAUUCACACCUGAUGUAUCUACAGGUGUCACAAACAAAUCAACACCAUUUAUAACAGAUUCAACAAAAGAAGUUUUAACAGAGGAAACUGAACUGUCAACUGUAGAAUUUACUGAUCAAUCAACUACAACCUCAACACCUCAGUCAACCACAGGAAUUACAUCUGGAAUCACAGCAGAAGAAACAACAAUAGACUUUACUGAUGUACUGACUACUGAAAAUGCAUUGGGAUCCGCAACAACAUUCACACCUGAUGUAUCUACAGGUGUCACAAACAAAUCAACACCAUUUAUAACAGAUUCAACAAAAGAAGUUUUAACAGAGGAAACUGAACUGUCAACUGUAGAAUUUACUGAUCAAUCAACUACAACCUCAACACCUCAGUCAACCACAGGAAUUACAUCUGGAAUCACCGCAGAAGAAACAACAAUAGACUUUACUGAUGUACUAACUACUGAAAAUGCAUUGGGAUCCGCAACAACAUUCACACCUGAUGUAUCUACAGGUGUCACAAACAAAUCAACACCAUUUAUAACAGAUUCAACAAAAGAAGUUUUAACAGAGGAAACUGAACUGUCAACUGUAGAAUUUACUGAUCAAUCAACUACAACCUCAACACCUCAGUCAACCACAGGAAUUACAUCUGGAAUCACAGCAGAAGAAACAACAAUAGACUUUACUGAUGUACUGACUACUGAAAAUGCAUUGGGAUCCGCAACAACAUUCACACCUGAUGUAUCUACAGGUGUCACAAACAAAUCAACACCAUUUAUAACAGAUUCAACAAAAGAAGUUUUAACAGAGGAAACUGAACUGUCAACUGUAGAAUUUACUGAUCAAUCAACUACAACCUCAACACCUCAGUCAACCACAGGAAUUACAUCUGGAAUCACAGCAGAAGAAACAACAAUAGACUUUACUGAUGUACUGACUACUGAAAAUGCAUUGGGAUCCGCAACAACAUUCACACCUGAUGUAUCUACAGGUGUCACAAACAAAUCAACACCAUUUAUAACAGAUUCAACAAAAGAAGUUUUAACAGAGGAAACUGAACUGUCAACUGUAGAAUUUACUGAUCAAUCAACUACAACCUCAACACCUCAGUCAACCACAGGAAUUACAUCUGGAAUCACAGCAGAAGAAACAACAAUAGACUUUACUGAUGUACUGACUACUGAAAAUGCAUUGGGAUCCGCAACAACAUUCACACCUGAUGUAUCUACAGGUGUCACAAACAAAUCAACACCAUUUAUAACAGAUUCAACAAAAGAAGUUUUAACAGAGGAAACUGAACUGUCAACUGUAGAAUUUACUGAUCAAUCAACUACAACCUCAACACCUCAGUCAACCACAGGAAUUACAUCUGGAAUCACCGCAGAAGAAACAACAAUAGACUUUACUGAUGUACUAACUACUGAAAAUGCAUUGGGAUCCGCAACAACAUUCACACCUGAUGUAUCUACAGGUGUCACAAACAAAUCAACACCAUUUAUAACAGAUUCAACAAAAGAAGUUUUAACAGAGGAAACUGAACUGUCAACUGUAGAAUUUACUGAUCAAUCAACUACAACCUCAACACCUCAGUCAACCACAGGAAUUACAUCUGGAAUCACAGCAGAAGAAACAACAAUAGACUUUACUGAUGUACUGACUACUGAAAAUGCAUUGGGAUCCGCAACAACAUUCACACCUGAUGUAUCUACAGGUGUCACAAACAAAUCAACACCAUUUAUAACAGAUUCAACAAAAGAAGUUUUAACAGAGGAAACUGAACUGUCAACUGUAGAAUUUACUGAUCAAUCAACUACAACCUCAACACCUCAGUCAACCACAGGAAUUACAUCUGGAAUCACAGCAGAAGAAACAACAAUAGACUUUACUGAUGUACUGACUACUGAAAAUGCAUUGGGAUCCGCAACAACAUUCACACCUGAUGUAUCUACAGGUGUCACAAACAAAUCAACACCAUUUAUAACAGAUUCAACAAAAGAAGUUUUAACAGAGGAAACUGAACUGUCAACUGUAGAAUUUACUGAUCAAUCAACUACAACCUCAACACCUCAGUCAACCACAGGAAUUACAUCUGGAAUCACAGCAGAAGAAACAACAAUAGACUUUACUGAUGUACUGACUACUGAAAAUGCAUUGGGAUCCGCAACAACAUUCACACCUGAUGUAUCUACAGGUGUCACAAACAAAUCAACACCAUUUAUAACAGAUUCAACAAAAGAAGUUUUAACAGAGGAAACUGAACUGUCAACUGUAGAAUUUACUGAUCAAUCAACUACAACCUCAACACCUCAGUCAACCACAGGAAUUACAUCUGGAAUCACCGCAGAAGAAACAACAAUAGACUUUACUGAUGUACUAACUACUGAAAAUGCAUUGGGAUCCGCAACAACAUUCACACCUGAUGUAUCUACAGGUGUCACAAACAAAUCAACACCAUUUAUAACAGAUUCAACAAAAGAAGUUUUAACAGAGGAAACUGAACUGUCAACUGUAGAAUUUACUGAUCAAUCAACUACAACCUCAACACCUCAGUCAACCACAGGAAUUACAGCUGGAGCCACCAUAAAAGAAACUAUUGUCUUCACUGAUGUACUAACCACUAAAAAGGCACUGGAAUCCACAACAACAUUCACAUCAGGAAUAUCUAAAAGUGUCACAUCUGAGAAUGAUCUGAGAACUGCAGAGACUGAAUUGACAACUAUAGGAAUUACUAAUCAAUCAACUACACUCUUUACACCAGAAUCAACCACGGGAGCCCAAUCAUUCACUAAGAUUCCUGAUUUAUCGACUACUGAUUCUACAGAGGAAUACACAACAGGAAUAUCACAAGAAAUUACAACUAAAGGAAUUGCUGGUCAGUCAGCUUCAGCCAUCACAACAUCUAAAUCAACAGCUAUAGAUACAUCAACCAUGGAUAGUGCAGCAACACAACCUGAGGUUACCACAUCAAGAACUACAGCAAUUACAGAAGAAUCAGUGACUUCAGGGGAUAAUACAAUGGCUACCACUGAGGGCUCCACCAUGCUUAUAAGUGGAACCACUAUCUCACAUGAAAGUCCUCUUUUCUCGCCACAAUCUACAGCACAACCACUAACAGUUGUAGUGGAACUCACCACUAAACCUACACUUGACACAACUGCAACUGAAUCUUCAACACCACCCCAGGAGACAAAGAGUAUGCCGACUACAGCCUUCACAAAUAACCAGCAUGUCAUUACUUCACAACACACACAAACUACAGACCAAUCUAUAACAAAUAUCCAAUCAACAAUGAGUACAUUGCAGAUUGAAACAGGUACAGCCCAGCCUACUUUCUCAACAACUUUCCAGACCAUAUUUGCUUCUCAACCAAAUCCAUCUGCAGUCCAACCUAAAACUAAUGCCCAGUCCACAACUACUACACCACAACUUGCAACAGCUACAACCCAGCCUAUAUUCUCAACUGCCCAGCCUACACAUACAGCCCAGACCGUUACUUCACAAUCUACACAGACUGAAAUCCAACCUAUAACUAAUGCCCAAUCCACAAUUACUACCCCACACCUCGCAAAAGUCACAACCCACCCUCUAUUCUUAACAGCUGCCCAGCCUACACAUACAGCCCAGACUGUUACUUCACCAUCUACUCAAACUGAAAUCCAACCUAUAACUAAUGCCCACUCCACCAUUACUACACCACACCCUGCCACAGCUACACCCCCACCUAUAUUCUCAACAGCUGCCCAGCCUACACAUACAGCCCAGACUGUUACUUCACCAUCUACUCAAACUGAAAUCCAACCUACAUCUAAUGCCCAAUCCACAAUAACUACACCACAACUUGCAAAAGUUACAACCCAGCCUAUAUGCUCAACAAUUCCCCAGCCUACACAUACAGCCCAGACUGUUACUUCACAACCUACUCAAACUGAAAUCCAACCUAUAACUAAUGCCCAGUCCACAAUUAUUACACCACAACUUGUAACAGUUACAACCCUGCCUAUAUUCUCAACAGCUGCCCAACCUACACAUACAGCCCAGAUUGUUACUUCACAAUCUACUCAAACUGAAAUCCAACCUAUAACUAAUGCCCAACCCACAAUUACUACACCACAACUUGCAAAAGUUACAACCCAACCUAUAUUCUCAACAGCUGCCCAACCUACUCAUACAGCCCAGACUGUUACUUCACAAUCUACACAAACUGAAAUCCAACCUAUAACUAAUGCCCAACCCACAAUUACUACACCACAACUUGCAAAAGUUACAACCCACCCUAUAUUCUCAACAGCUGCCCAACCUACACAUACAGCCCAGACUGUUACUUCACAGUCUACUCAAACUGCAAUCCAACCUAUAACUAAUGCCCAAUCCACAAUUACUACACCACACCCUGCAAAAGUUACAACCCACCCUAUAUUCUCAACAGCUGCCCAACCUACACAUGCAGCCCAGAUUGUUACUUCACAAUCUACUCAAACUGAAAUCCAACCUAUAACCAAUGCCCACUCCACAAUUACUACACCACAACUUGCAAAAGUUACAACCCAGCCUAUAUGCUCAACAAUUCCCCAGCCUACACAUACAGCCCAGACCGUUACUUCACAAUCUACGCAAACUGAAAUCCAACCUAUAACUAAUGCCCACUCCACCAUUACUACACCACACCCUGCCACAGCUACACCCCCACCUAUAUUCUCAACAGCUGCCCAGCCUACACAUACAGCCCAGACUGUUACUUCACAGUCUACUCAAACUGCAAUCCAACCUAUAACUAAUGCCCAAUCCACAAUUAUUACACCACAACUUGUAACAGUUACAACCCUGCCUAUAUUCUCAACAGCUGCCCAACCUACACAUACAGCCCAGAUUGUUACUUCACAAUCUACUCAAACUGAAAUCCAACCUAUAACCAAUGCCCACUCCACAAUUACUACACCACAACUUGCAAAAGUUACAACCCAGCCUAUAUUCUCAACAACUGCCCACCCUGUAACUAUUUCACAACCUACACAAACUGCAAUCCCACCUAUAACUACAGCUACAUCUCAACCCAACUCAGAAAUAACCCAACCUCAGAGUACAAAAACAGUUGCAAUCCAGUCUACAAUUAUAACUCAACCGACAUUAACCACAACUGCAAAUGGUACCAAGAAAGUACAGACCACAACUACAUCCCAACCUAUAUCAACUACAAUCCAGUCCACGACAACAUCAAACCCUGCAACAGCUACAACAGUUAAACUGUCAACAAUUAGAACAACUCACUUGGCGGCAUCAAUGCAAUUGACAACAAAUUCACUCCAACCUACCAGUACAAUUCAUGCAGCAUCUGUAUCUGAAAGCAAAUCUACCACUACAACCCAAACUAUAACUCUUACAGUCCCACCCACCACAAUUACAACUCAGUCUACAGCUGCAACUACAUCCCAACUACAUUCCAAACCAACCUUUACAAACCAAAUGACAACACAACAACUUUCAACUGGUACAACCCAGUUUAUAUCUGCCGCAACCCAACCUACAACAAAUGCAACCCAGCCUUCAACCCCACCUGUAUCCCCUGCUCCAACUCUAACACACACUUCAACCCAGCCUACAACUUCAACUAUACCUGCACCUACAACCCAACCAAAAACAACUGCAACCAACCCUAUAUCUACAACUACUGCUGUAACUACAAGAACAAACCAUCUUGCCAUCACAACUACAACCACACCUUUACUUGAAACAACAGCACCGCUCACAGCUACAGUGGAAGUCAGAUUUUCCAGCUCAGAAAUGUUUGAUUCUUUACUGUCUGACAAAAAUUCAGAUAUCUAUAAAAAACGAGAAGAAAGAGUCAAAAAGGAGUUUGUGCCGAUCUUUAAAAAAGAGUUCCCGUCCUUCUUCAGACUGACAGUGAUUAGAUUCAUAGAAGGAUCAGUGAUCACAGAUAUGAAUUUGGAAUUCAGGAAAGACACUCUUUUGCCAGAUGACAAUGAGAUAAUACGUACUAUCACCAGUGCCAAUACUACAUUUAAUAUCACCAGAGCAGAAGUUAUGCCAAAAGCUGACCUUUCCACUACUACCAAUCAUACUACAACCCCGACCAAGCCCACUGAAGCCAAAGUAACCACGCAUCAAGCAACAACGUUGACAACAAAAACACCAACAACAAAAGCCACAAUCAUCACGCCAACAACAAAAGCCACAAUCGCCACACCAACAACAAAAGCCACAAUCAUCACGCAAACAACAAAAGCCACAAUCGCCACGACAACAACAAAAGCUGCAAUCGCCACGUCAACAACAAAAGCCACAACUGCCAUGCCAACAACAAAAGCCAAAAUCACCACGCCAACAACAAAAGCCACAAUCACCACGCCAAAAACAACUGCUACAACCACAACAGCCAAAACCACCACCACAACAGCAGUUCCAACACGCCCUCCACCAGUUGUAACCAUAGAGUUUGUCAUUUUAGUAAUAUUUUUUCCAGACCUUCAAAACACACAAAGUGUGGCAUUUAAGAACCUAGCAGACAAAGUUCAAAAUGAGUGUGACAAAGUAUAUAAACUGAAGUAUGGAGUUCUUUUCAUCAGGACUAUUGUGAUUGCUUUCAGAGCUUUUUCCAGAACCCGAGCAGAGGAAAAUGUACAGGCAGUGCUUGAAUUAGUGUUUAGCCAAACAUCCACUGAACCGAUCCCCAGCAACACUGACAUUGUGGAAACUCUGAAAGAAGCAGCUACAACUCCAACUUCAGGGUUCAACCUCACUCUUGAUUCCACCACUAUAAAUGUCCUUAAAUCAGUGAAGAUAAUUCCGCUGACAAUCCUCACCAAUGGAACCUUUGUGGCUGCUCUUUCAAAUAAAAAUUCUACUGAAUUUCAGAACAGAGCUUCGAUGAUAAAAGCAGUGCUUGAACCUUUCUUCUUUGCUGAUUAUCCAACAUCAUUCAGCACCAUAUCCGUAACAAACUUCAGUGUUGCCAGUGUAAAAUUAAGGAGUGUGCCAACAAUCCGAAACUCCAUGGAUCUCACAUUCGGAGCGGACGCCGUUCUACCCAAUAGCACCCAGAUAGUGAACACUGUAGUCCGAGCAGCCAGAAACAACACGUUACCCUUCCAGAUCUUCACUUCUUCAAUCAUAAUAAAUGGAACCGAAUAUUCGUCAGGUGAAGUCAGCAGCAGGGUCAGUGUGUUGACCGCUUCAGUCCUGGUUGCUGUGUCGCUUCUGGUUCCAUGGUUUAACUGGGUGUAACCACUCAGGCCAAUAUAACUGAUUCAUACGGGUCUAAAUCUUCCUUGCCUUUCACGCCUGCUCAAAUGAAGGACUCGUACAUGUAAACAAAACUCUGACUGCAUCAGUUUUUAGAACUGAAUGUGUCUGUUUUUAGCUCUUGUUCUGUUUUCAGAACAGGUUAACACUAGUCAUACAAGCACUUUUAGUAAUUUAUUUAUUCUUAAAAAAUAGACUCAGUUAAAUCAUAUUGUCAUUGGUUUCUUUUCUGAAUAAUGUAAUCUACAAAUCAAGGGGCAGUUCUUUAAAGUCAUUAAUUUAUUGUUUGUUUAUUCUGUAUGUGUUGUAGUCGGAUGAGUAAAAGUGGGUACAACAUAACAAUCUACAAACGUAUAGUAUAAGCUACAACAACCACAUUUUCAACUGAAUUCUUUUGUAAUAUUGUAAUAUAUAUGAAUAUAUAUGUAAUAUAUAACCAUCUCUGUUAUAUCUAAGAUGAACUCUGGUAAAACUAUUGAAAUGCAUUACAUUUGUUAAUUUAUUUGUUGAUCAAUAAAAAAUAGGAGUGUAACGGUUCA